rnacentral:rRNA from 1 species
GUACGAUCGCAAGAUUAAACUCAAAGGAAUUGACGGGGCCCCGCACAAGCAGCGGAGCAUGCGGCUUAAUUCGACGCAACGCGAAGAACCUUACCAAGGCUUGACAUAUACAGGAAUAUGGCAGAGAUGUCAUAGCGGUAAAACGUCUGUAUACAGGUGGUGCAUGGUUGUCGUCAGCUCGUGUCGUGAGAUGUUGGGUUAAGUCCCGCAACGAGCGCAACCCUCGUUCUGUGUUGCCAGCAUUUAGUUGGGGACUCACAGGAGACUGCCGGGGUUAACUCGGAGGAAGGUGGGGAUGACGUCAAAUCAUCAUGCCCCUUAUGUCUUGGGCUGCACGCAUGCUACAAUGGCUGGUACAAAGGGCUGCAAUACUGCAAAGUGGAGCGAAUCCCAAAAAGCCAGUCUCAGUUCGGAUUGGGGUCUGCAACUCGACCCCAUGAAGUCGGAGUUGCUAGUAAUCGUAGAUCAGCAACGCUACGGUGAAUACGUUCCCGGGGCUUGUACACACCGCCCGUCACAUCACGAAAGUCGGUAACACCCAAAGUCAGUGGCCCAACCGCAAGGAGGGAGCUGCCAAAGGUGGGAUCGGUGAUUGGGAUG